GCCCCCAUGGUGUAGCGGUUAGCACGCGAGCCUUUCACGCUUGUAGCACGGGUUCGAUUCCCGUUGGGGGUA
rnacentral:tRNA from 1 species